rnacentral:rRNA from 1 species
ACCUAAUAGAUACCCUGGUAGUCCACGCCCUAAACGAUGCGAACUGGAUGUUGGGUACAUUACGGUACUCAGUGUCGAGGCUAAACGCGUUAAGUUCGCCGCCUGGGGAGUACGGUCGCAAGACUGAAACUCAAAGGAAUUGACGGGGGCCCGCACAAGCGGUGGAGUAUGUGGUUUAAUUCGAUGCAACGCGAAGAACCUUACCUGGCCUUGACAUCUGUCGAAUCCUGCAGAGAUGCGGGAGUGCCGCAAGGAACGACAAGACAGGUGCUGCAUGGCUGUCGUCAGCUCGUGUCGUGAGAUGUUGGGUUAAGUCCCGCAACGAGCGCAACCCUUGUCCCUAGUUGCCAGCACAUCAUGGUGGGAACUCUAGGGAGACUGCCGGUGACAAACCCGGAGGAAGGUGGGGAUGACGUCAAGUCCUCAUGGCCC